rnacentral:rRNA from 1 species
GAUGAACGCUGGCGGCGUGCCUAAUACAUGCAAGUCGAGCGAACAGACGAGGAGCUUGCUCCUUUGACGUUAGCGGCGGACGGGUGAGUAACACGUAGGUAACCUACCUAUAAGACUGGGUAACCUUGGGAAACCGGAGCUAAUAACGGGUAAUAUUUCGAACCGCCUGGUUUGGUAGGGAAAGAUGGCUUUGCUAUCACCUAUAGAUGGACCUGCGCCGUAUUAGCUAGUUGGUAAGGUAACGGCUUACCAAGGGAACGAUACGUAGCCGACCUGAGAGGGUGAUCGGCCACACUGGAACUGAGACACGGUCCAGACUCCUACGGGAGGCAGCAGUAGGGAAUCUUCCGCAAUGGGCGAAAGCCUGACGGAGCAACGCCGCGUGAGUGAUGAAGGUCUUCGGAUCGUAAAACUCUGUUAUUAGGGAAGAACAAACGUGUAAGUAACUGUGCACGUCUUGACGGUACCUAAUCAGAAAGCCACGGCUAACUACGUG